AGCAGAUUAUUUCCUUGCAGCUGAGAGGGCUCCACCCAGUCUUUAAUUUGAGGCCUGUGGUUCAUCAUCAGAGUUUAGCCUGGGAUCAGCCCUGAAACAUGGCAAGCAGGAAAAAUGCAAACCCUUUCCAUUCCACUCUGGCUCCCGGGGACCCGGCUGCCCUCCCUCUGUGGCCCAGAAUGCACUGCACUGGUUGUCAUGAUACAUCCCUUGAUACAUCUCUAGAAUGGCUGAAUCUCAGUGGAGCUGCUGCUUUGGAAAAGCCUGGAAAGCAGCGUUGCAGCAGGAGCAGGCUGGUGCUGGCAACCCAUGCUAUGCCACCGAUGUCAUGCCUUUUCUCUGAAAGAUUCAUGAUUCCCAGUAAGUUUCUAUGCCUAGUUCUUUUUGACUCACAGAAUGGGGGAACAAUUAGCCAAUUAAUGCCUUUUGCAAAUAGCAUUGAAACUGAGAGCUUGGUUAUACGUCAAAAACACUCCUGUUUUUGAAUUAGGUUUGGCAUGUUUAAGAUCGAUUUUCAAAAUUCCAGCAACACAGUGCACAGGGAUGCACAUUUUUUAUUUUUAUUUUUAUUUUUGCCCAGGAAGAGUGUUUUUUUGGAUGGAAAAAAGGUAAUUUACUUAGUCACAAAUGGAUUGUUGCCGUCCAUUAAUUUUGAAAGGUAAUUUACUUAGUCACAAAUGGAUUGUUUAUUCUAAAUCACUUGUGCCGUCCAUUGAUUUUGAAAUGUUUUGGUAUAUGUGAAUGCCUCUGUUGGUGUAAAUUGUUUCUGUGGGUUUUGUCAAGUAACGAGUGCCAGGAUAAUGGGUUUCAGGCUGCAGAAAAGUCUUACAGACUGAUCUGAAAAGAGAGUGGGCAGAAGAAAAAGGAAGUAGAGGAAAGUGCUCCCUUUUUUACAAGCCUAGAGAAGCUGUCAGGCUUGUCUUUUUCUCUGGUCAGUUUCUCAUUGCCACUCACUGAUGUGCCUUUCCUUUGGAUAGCCCUGGCUGCCAGUUCUGUUACUUCCUCUUGUUCUCCACCCUGUGUGCGUGUCAAACUGCAGGGAAAGCUCUCAAUCUGAUCUGUCUUAAUUUUUUUUUUAUAUUUGUCAUACUGAACUAGUGCUAUGCCAGACUGCAAGAAGAAAAUAUACCACAGCAACAUUGUGGCUAUAAGAGGCAACCAGCACAAGGCCCACAAAUGCAAUCUUUCUAAAAGUUGAAGUAACCCUCUCCAACAACACAGUUAAAUUUUUCCCCAAGAGGAAGCAAACACUGACCCAACAACCACAUGGCUACUAUGUUACUUUAAACCGACUUCAAAACCUCAGAUCCAUUUCCCGAUUUAUUUUCAUGCUGUAACCAUGCUCUGAAAUAAUUGUAAUCGGUUUGAAGUGUCAUUGUUAUUCUACGAUGUCAAGUUGCCUCUGCUUAUGGCCAUCUAUGAAUUAGUGACCUCAAAAAGGUCCUGUUAUUAAAAGCCAUGUUCAUCUCUUGCAAACUGCUUGCA
rnacentral:lncRNA from 1 species